CUUGCAGAGACCCUCUAUUAUGCUAUGAAGGGAGCUGGGACAGAUGAUCAUACCCUCAUCAGAGUCAUGGUUUCCAGGAGUGAGAUUGAUCUGUUUAACAUCAGGAAGGAGUUUAGGAAGAAUUUUGCCACCUCUCUUUAUUCCAUGAUUAAGGUAAUACAUCUGGGGACUAUAAGAAAGCUCUUCUGCUGCUCUGUGGAGAAGAUGACUAACGUGUCACGGGGAAGAGCUCCCUGCUGUGUGCCUGCACCACCCCACUGCCUUCCUUCAGCACCUUUAGCUGCAUUUGUAUGCCAGUGCUUAACACAUUGCCUUAUUCAUACUAGCAUGCUCAUGACCAACACAUACACGUCAUAGAAGAAAAUAGUGGUGCUUCUUUCUGAUCUCUAGUGGAGAUCUCUUUGACUGCUGUAGUACUAAAGUGUACUUAAUGUUACUAAGUUUAAUGCCUGGCCAUUUUCCAUUUAUAUAUAUUUUUUAAGAGGCUAGAGUGCUUUUAGCCUUUUUUAAAAACUCCAUUUAUAUUACAUUUGUAACCAUGAUACUUUAAUCAGAAGCUUAGCCUUGAAAUUGUGAACUCUUGGAAAUGUUAUUAGUGAAGUUCGCAACUAAACUAAACCUGUAAAAUUAUGAUGAUUGUAUUCAAAAGAUUAAUGAAAAAUAAACAUUUCUGUCCCCC
rnacentral:lncRNA from 1 species